AGAAGCUGCAUUUACAGGAACAUGUUUGGUGACAAGAAGAUAGUAUUUCUCUUCCCAUUCCCAUCUCCAUGAGUACCUGAACAGAGGGUUUGCAGUUUUCUCUGGAAGACCAUCUGAGUGAAGGAAGAGAGAGAGGCUAUAUGAGGGACAACUGCUGUAAAAGCACGGGGAAGAGUGCCAUUUCUUACAAAGUUACAGACUGAAAUGUCGAGGCAACCGUGAUGUUCGUUGCUUUGGGGAGUCUGCGGCUUGGCCAUAUACUGAGGUGACACCCAUAUGAUGAACGAAUAGCUUUAAUCAGCAAUUGGCUGAAGAAAACUCCAUGGGACUUAGCGGUAGCAAGGCUCAUUAAAUUACAUGAGGAGCAUUCUGCACAUUCAACUGAUGGUGAAAGCAUAAGGACCAAGAAGAUCUUAGAGCAAUUUGAGGAACAGAGAAGGCAAAGAACAGUUUGGAAUGACCUGAGAGACAGUGCCUGUGUAUUUCUUUCAAGCCUAUCAUGCUUGCUGUCAUCUUCAGAACUACAGUUUUUAAAAAAAUAAAGUUGCCUAUGUGGUUUUAUUUACUAUAUCAACCAUGGAAGAAGGGAACUAAAUUCAGUGACUGAUGGGUCUGACAGCCAAAAUGUUCAUAUAGUCUCUGAUGGGUGCAUUUACUUCUUCGUGUGUUUAAGAGUCCUUGAAUUCCAAACAUUUAAAUAGAUUAUUGCAAAUAUAUUUUUCAUUUCUUGGUCAAGUCCAGAGUAAUAG
ensembl:lncRNA